rnacentral:tRNA from 1 species
CAGGGGAUAGUUUAAAAAAUAUUAAAUUUGGGGUUUAAAGAUAGAAUAUAGGUUUCUUCCUCUGA